CUUAACACAUGCAAGUCGAGGGGCAGCAUGGUCUUAGCUUGCUAAGGCCGAUGGCGACCGGCGCACGGGUGAGUAACGCGUAUCCAACCUGCCUUACACUCUUGGACAGCCUUCUGAAAGGGAGAUUAAUACAAGAUGUUAUCAUGAGUAAGCAUUUUCGCAUGAUUAAAGGUUUACCGGUGUAAGAUGGGGAUGCGUUCCAUUAGAUAGUAGGCGGGGUAACGGCCCACCUAGUCUUCGAUGGAUAGGGGUUCUGAGAGGAAGGUCCCCCACAUUGGAACUGAGACACGGUCCAAACUCCUACGGGAGGCAGCAGUGAGGAAUAUUGGUCAAUGGACGAGAGUCUGAACCAGCCAAGUAGCGUGAAGGAUGAAGGUUCUAUGGAUUGUAAACUUCUUUUAUACGGGAAUAAACGGAUCCACGUGUGGAUUUUUGCAUGUACCGUAUGAAUAAGGAUCGGCUAACUCCGUGCCAGCAGCCGCGGUAAUACGGAGGAUCCGAGCGUUAUCCGGAUUUAUUGGGUUUAAAGGGAGCGUAGAUGGGUUGUUAAGUCAGUUGUGAAAGUUUGCGGCUCAACCGUAAAAUUGCAAUUGAUACUGGCAGUCUUGAGUACAGUUGAGGUAGGCGGAAUUCGUGGUGUAGCGGUGAAAUGCUUAGAUAUCACGAAGAACUCCGAUUGCGAAGGCAGCUUACUAACCUGUAACUGACAUUGAUGCUCGAAAGUGUGGGUAUCAAACAGGAUUAGAUACCCUGGUAGUCCACACGGUAAACGAUGAAUACUCGCUGUAGGCGAUAUACAGUCUGCGGCCAAGCGAAAGCAUUAAGUAUUCCACCUGGGGAGUACGCCGGCAACGGUGAAACUCAAAGGAAUUGACGGGGGCCCGCACAAGCGGAGGAACAUGUGGUUUAAUUCGAUGAUACGCGAGGAACCUUACCCGGGCUUAAAUUGCAACCGAAUAUGGCGGAAACGCUAUAGCUAGCAAUAGCGGUUGUGAAGGUGCUGCAUGGUUGUCGUCAGCUCGUGCCGUGAGGUGUCGGCUUAAGUGCCAUAACGAGCGCAACCCUUGCCGAUAGUUACUAACAGGUCAUGCUGAGGACUCUGUCGGGACUGCCAUCGUAAGAUGUGAGGAAGGUGGGGAUGACGUCAAAUCAGCACGGCCCUUACGUCCGGGGCUACACACGUGUUACAAUGGGGGGUACAGAGGGCUGCUACCACGCAAGUGGAUGCCAAUCCCAAAAACCUCUCUCAGUUCGGAUUGAAGUCUGCAACCCGACUUCAUGAAGCUGGAUUCGCUAGUAAUCGCGCAUCAGCCACGGCGCGGUGAAUACGUUCCCGGGCCUUGUACACACCGCCCGUCAAGCCAUGGGAGCCGGGGGUACCUGAAGUGCGUAACCGCAAGGAGCGCCCUAGGGUAAAACUGGUGACUGGGGCUAAGUCAUA
rnacentral:rRNA from 1 species